rnacentral:rRNA from 1 species
UACGAAGGGGGCUAGCGUUGCUCGGAAUUACUGGGCGUAAAGGGCGCGUAGGCGGACAGUUUAGUAAGAGGUGAAAGCCCAGGGCUCAACCUUGGAAUUGCCUUUGAUACUGGCUGUCUUGAGUUCGGGAGAGGUGAGUGGAAUGCCGAGUGUAGAGGUGAAAUUCGUAGAUAUUCGGCGGAACACCAGUGGCGAAGGCGACUCACUGGCCCGAUACUGACGCUGAGGCGCGAAAGCGUGGGGAGCAAACAGG